AGAGCGAACGCUGGCGGCAGGCCUAACACAUGCAAGUCGAGCGCCCCGCAAGGGGAGCGGCAGACGGGAGAGUAACACGUGGGAACGUACCCUUCAGUUCGGAACAACCCAGGGAAACUUGGGCUAAUACCGAAUACGUCCGUAAGGAGAAAGAUUUAUCGCUGAAGGAUCGGCCCGCGUCUGAUUAGCUUGUUGGUGAGGUAACGGCUCACCAAGGCUACGAUCAGUAGCUGGUCUGAGAGGAUGAUCAGCCUCACUGGGACUGAGACACGGCCCAGACUCCUACGGGAGGCAGCAGUGGGGAAUAUUGGACAAUGGGCGCAAGCCUGAUCCAGCCAUGCCGCGUGGAUGAUGAAGGCCUUAGGGUUGUAAAGUCCUUUCGACGGGGAAGAUAAUGACGGUACCCGUAGAAGAACGCCCGGAUAACUACGCGCCAGCAGGCCGC
rnacentral:rRNA from 1 species